GUCGUUCCUUGCUAUCACGUGACUGUCAUGUGAUCGUCGUGCAAGAGAUUGGCAAUGGAUCCGACGAUGGCCACCCUCCGACGAUGAGCGGAAAGUGUUGAAUGAUUGUGAAUUAAGAGGAAGGCAGUUCACGAUGAUGAAUGAAGUGCCGUAAAACAGUUAUGCGUUGAUGGAAAGCUGUAAACUUGACUGUUGCUGAUUAGAGCGUUGAUGUCGUGACACAAUUCCGUUACCACUGGGGUUGACUGCUAGGGAUUUUGCCAAUUGGCGUUUCAUGUAGAAUUUCAAAGUAUGGCUGCUAGCACAAACAUUUUCAGUGAAAAGGAGACCAAUAACUGGUUUAAGGCAUGCCUUGCUCUCAACUGUACGAAGGAAGGGCUUACCAACUUCAUUGAAACAGAAUUACAGAGGGUCCUCGCAGCGGUUGGUGGAAGUUGUGGGAACUGUUCAAUUGAAAACCUGAUGUCAUGUCCUACUCCGGGUUUGUGCAACAGCAAAGCAAAAAAAAAAUGUAUGUUUCACAAAGCAAAAGUGUUCCAGCAAUGCAAAAUAUGCGAUCAAGUUAAACAAAAAAUCAUAUCGUUCCAUAGAUUUUACAAGCCAUCGUGGCGAAAUACAAAAGCAGAAAGAUGGGCGACCGAACCGUGGGAAAUCGGAAAAUGUUACUUACCUCCGGGAGGAUACAAAGGUGUCUCCGUGGUGCAGGAAUCGGACUUAAAUGGCAUACUCAGUUUGAUGUUGAACUGCACACACUUCGAAACGUGUCUCUCUGCUAGCCUAACUCCUAAACCGCCUGAUCCACAGUGCCCUUUAGAAAAGGUCCGUCAGAUAGGCCGAGACGUACGACACACAGCCGACUGCAAGGUAAACGAUGCUGAUCUGCAAUACUAUUUUCAAACACUGGCAACGCUACUGGCCGAUCCAAAGUGCUUAGUGCAUGAUCCUUUGGCAAUAACAGCGCGCACAAAAUUAAGUCAGUUGCAGAAUGAUCGUUUGUCACUAUUCGAACUGGGCGAGCUGUUGAAAGAUGCCAGUCAAACCCUCAAACAAGCGAAAGCGGCCGGGGAACACUUUUCAAAAGUUGCGGAAAUUACUCUCCAGGAAGCUUUGCAAUCAAUAGAGGCAUCUUUACAGGCUGGUAAACAACAAAUUGAAGCAGUGAUUUCUGAUUCAAAAAAACAAUUAGAUAUACACACACAAGACAGUGUAAGGAAAAUAUCAGAAGAAACUCGAGUUGGUAUUGAGCGCAUUCAACAAGUAGAAAUCAACCAAGCGAUUGACGACUAUGGACGGGAUGUUGAUGAUAUGCUCCGAGGUUUGACGGCGCAUUACGACACAAAACUUAGUUAUGUGACGACCUCGCCUUUGAAUUGCGUUCACGAAAAAUUAAGGGACAUCUAUAUGCCACCCAAGCUGCUGCUGAUGACAAAAGACAAACAGUCCUUUAAAAAAACCGGCAUGCAAAUCAAGAACUACGAAAAUAUGUUUUUAAAGCAUGCCAAAGAGAACCAUAAGACGUUUAUUCAAGGCGAGGCCGGAACGGGCAAAUCCACAUUUCUUGCAAAGUUAGUUAUGGACUGGUGUCGUAUUAAAUUAGAAAAACAAUUGAAAACAAAGAUAGCACAUACUGAUACGCAAACGAAUUACGCCUCUUUCUUCAACGAUUCGUGGUCUCUACACCGUUACAGUUUUGUCUUCCACAUAACGUUAAGAAAUUCGGUAACAGAAAUCUCAAUUUACAACAUGAUCAAGGAACAGAUAAUCGACUCGAUAUACUCGUCUGAAGAAGAUCGCAAAAAGGCCUACACAUUACUGAAUGAGAUAAUGAAACGCGAACUUUGCUUGAUACUACUAGAUGGUUUGGAUGAAUGGACCGGUCCUGGAGGUGGAUACAACCUACCGACGUUGGUAACAUGCCACAGACAAUGCGUCAUCUUGAUUACAACUCGACCUUGGAAAGUGGCUGAAGGAACAUUUAACCACUCAGAGAUGCAUACUUUUCUGCAACUUGAAGGAGUUAACGAUCCUUUCGAGCUUAGUAGAAAUUUGUUGAGUUUAAUGAUUGAUAGGAAGGAGUUGAGCGCUAAACACCUAUUAUUUAAGCGUUAUGUAUCCGAAAAGAAGCUAAACGAUUUACUGUUGUCACCAAUGAUGCUUUCUGUAAUUGUAUGUUCAUAUGCUGAAGGAAUAACACUGAAAGGCUCUAAAUGUGAAAUAUACUGUAUCAUACUGGAAAGUCUUCUAAAGAAGGCAAACAGCAAAAUCAGUGAAUUUCAGCAUCCGCCAUUUCCUUGCUUUACGGGCACGCAAUACAUUCAACCCAAUAUUGAACACCUAAAUCGUCUUGCUGAAGCGGCAUUUCAUUUGCUGUUUUCAAACACAAGGGAAAAUUCGCUUGUGUUUGGUAUAAGCGAAUUAAAGCUAUAUAAGUUAGAAGAAGAACUUGAGACGGCUUUAAAGUCAGGUAUUUUGUCUGCAACUCCAAAAGCAUCGGUAUUACGAUUAUCGUCAUCAUUUUCCUUUAUCCAUAAAAGCUUUCAGGAAUUCCUAGCUGCAUAUCAUAUCGCACGCAAUACCCAAACAAUUAAUGGCAUAAUUUCGGGAUAUCUUAAACGCAGUAACAAUUCCUACCUUGAUGUUACUGAAGUUUUAACUUUUCUGUGCGGGUUAGACAUUUCGGCUGCGAAUACACUCUCUGACAUGAUGGACAAAUGUGACCAGCUUCAUUACUUAAAAUACGAGUUCAAACCCAGCCCCUUUCAGCACUGCGUCCUGUCAGGAUAUAGAGAGGCCAUUGCUAAUGCGAAAACAUGCAUUAACCUAAAACUCAGUCACUUUAACAUCGACGACGAAAACAUUCAUCCAGAUUUGCACUCACUUUGGGUCAUGAAUGCGUCCAGUGUCGAGGUUCUACGUGUAACUGUAUUCUCUCGGGACCCUUUAUUUGAUGGGAAGAGUUCACCUGAAUGUGAGAAGUCUUCAUCUACUAUGGACUUUGAACUGUCAUCGUGUCACAAACUAAAAGUGCUGAAACUCUAUGGAUACGGCGUAUGUUUGAAAGGACACAUGGCUGGAUGAGGCUUCGGGUAUCAAGAAAGACGACAGUUCCUUGGUGGCGGCAGUGGCAAUUCCAAAGACUGCAGUCUCUACAAGCUGGAAUAAGAAGACCCCUGGGUCAAGUGCGUCCAGCCCCAACAUCCGUCUGUUGACCGCCCGUAAUAUCCAAAGGCCGCAAAUCAAGUUCAAGGACAAGGUUUACAACAGGGCUGUUCCAUGGCGACCAAUCAUCAAGGAGAAACCAAAUGCGUUGAAGCCAC